UUUUGAUCCAUUAAUUUUGAUUAUAAGAUUAAAUUACCUUAGGGAUAACAGCGUUAUCUUCCUUGAGAGUUCUUAUUGGCGGGAAGGUUUGCGACCUCGAUGUUGGAUUAAGGUGAAUUUUCGGUGCAGGAGCUGAAAUUGAUUAGGUCUGUUCGACCUUUAAAAUCUUACAUGAUCUGAGUUCAGACCGGCGUGAGCCAGGUUGGUUUCUAUCUAUAAUAAAGUUUUAUGCCUUAGUACGAGAGGACCGGGUAU
rnacentral:rRNA from 1 species